rnacentral:rRNA from 1 species
GACGAACGCUGGCGGCGUGCCUAAUACAUGCAAGUAGGACGCAGUUGCGAACGUGUCAGUAACGCCUAGGUACUUACCUAGUAGAGGGGGAUAACUAUUGGAAACGAUAGCCAAUACCGCAUAUUAGCAGAUGGACCUGCGUUGAAUUAGCUAGUGGGUAGGGUAAAGGCCCACCAAGGCAACGAUACAUAGCCGACCUGGGAGGGUGAUCGGCCACAAUGGGACUGAGACACGGCCCAGACUCCUACGGGAGGCAGCAGUAGGGAAUCUUCGGCAAUGGGGGGAACCCUGACCGAGCAACGCCGCGUGAGUGAAGAAGGUUUUCGGGUCGUAAAGCUCUGUUGUUAAGGAAGCGGUACUUAACCAGAAAGGGACGGCUAACUACGUGCCAGCAGCCGCGGUAAUAC